UACAGGGGGUGCAAACGUUGCUCGGAAUCAUUGGGCGUAAAGCGCACGUAGGCGGUUCGUUAUGUCGGAUGUGAAGCCCUUGGCUUAACCGGAGGAAGUGCAUCCGAAACUGGCGAGCUAGAGUACUAAAGAGGAGUCGCGGGAAUUCCCGGUGUAGAGGUGAAAUUCGUAGAUAUACGGGAGGAACACCGGUGGCGAAGGCGGCGAUCUGGGUAGAUACUGACGCUGAGGUGCGAAAGCGUGGGGAGCAAACAGG
rnacentral:rRNA from 1 species